GCUAGCUUUUAACUUCUAUUGUGAAAUCAUUUAGACACACCCAUGUAUAGUGUGUGUGUGUAUGUGUGUGUGUGUUUUGUGCUCAUCUGUGGCUUUUUAACUUCCUUGUUUCUCAUCUGCUUUGAGGUGGCCCGCUGUGUUUUUGGAGUAUACAGCUCAGCUGAUAACAUGGGGUCCUGCCGCCUCUCUCUAGAUUUGGGGGUGGAAACUUGUGCCCUGGCCCAGUGGAGAUGACUGGUGGGGUGUGGGGAGAAGAGCUUCAGUGGGUUGAAUCCAGGCAUGGGAUCCAGGAAAGGAAACCACGUAGCCAGGCUUGCAGUGUGGUAUAGUAAGGACUGCUGCUGUCUCUGUUGUGGCUUCGUCUUCCAGAACCCUUCCCCCCACCUUGCUUUUGGUCACACUCUUCCCUUUUACUGCACUUCAGUAGAUAAGCUGCUGGAGCUCUUAGGAGUGCCAAGAGGGGCACCAUUUAGACUCCUGGAGAAGAGGAAGGGUAGGUAUGUAAACAUCUCUACCAUGACACAUAGGGGAUUAUAAAAAGGGAAAGGAGGGUUUGCUCAUAAACUCCUGGCAUUGGUUGUCUAGGUCACACUUACAUAUAAUAGCAAUGUACACAUUAAGUGUGGACAAAUGUAAAAGCUGGUCCCAACUGUGGAAAAAGUAAAGCAAUUAUAAUAACCGGCUAAUGUGACGAAUGUGUUACACAAAGAAUAAAUGGGAUCGCAUGGAAUUCUUGGAAAGCCUAGCUAGGUGAGAAGAAAGAGAAGGUGCUGGGACUGAAAAGGGUGGAAGGAACUUACCGAGUAAAGCCUCGCUGCCAGGCAGUAUGCCUUUUGGCUUCUUGAAGUAACCAAGUGAAGCCAGAGCAGUUGCUCUAUCUAGCAAGGAGGAAGUGCAGUGGGAAGCAGGCUGGAGAAAAAGACCCAGAGCAGAGCCUUUAGGGUGUGGUCUUUUACCUGAAUACAGAAAGGAACUGCUGAGGAAUUUUACCCAGGGAACUGACAUCUUUGGCUUUCUGGUUUGGUUUUGUAUUUUAGUUGAAUCAUAACCUGUGGUAAAGUAUAUAGAUAUUCAACAUCCCCAAAGGUUUAUGCAGGAAUACUCAGACUGAGAGAUAGAAUGUGUCCAUCCCAGACUUGUUUUUCAGAUCAUUUGUUGCUGGGGUGUUGAGAGUAGAUGACGCGAGUGAAGGGAAGGGAAGGUGAAUCUGAAUGUUCCCCAUCUCUUUGGUGGAGUGAAGGGAAGGGAAGGUGAAUCUGAAUGUUCCCCAUCUCUUUGGUGGAGUGAAGGGAAGGGAAGGUGAGUCUGAAUGUUCCCCAUCUCUUUGGUGGAGUGAAGGGAAGGGAAGGUGAAUUUGAAUGUUCCCCAACUCUUUGAUAGAGUGGUGGUGCUGGCCUGGACCUGAGUAGAAUCAGAGUAGGCAAAGGUCAAUGAGAAAAGGGAAAUAAAUGGCUGGAGAUAAAAGCAAUUAGACUUGCUCUAGGUGUGCGUGGGAGGAGUGCAGGCAGAGGUACUGAUUUCUAGGUGUGGAGUGUGAGCAGUGUGGCUGGCCAUGGUCUCUGAUACAGAGAUAGAGCAGGUUAAAUGAAGAACAGGCAUUCCAGGAGAGGGAAGAAUGGAACAUUCCAUUCUGGACCCAUUAAUUUUUAAACACUCAUGAAAGAUGCAGGUAGGGACAUCACCUGGAUAGGAGUGGGCCAAAGCUACACAGCCAAGAAGUACCUGCUUAGACGUAGAGAUCAGCCGCAUGGACUGUGUUGUCUAGGAAAAUGGGGUGAUGUGGGAAAGGGAAAACAAGCCAGGAUUGGAACAAAAAGUUACAAAUAUUUAAAAUCAGAGUGGACGAGUUGAUGAAAGAAGUCUAUUCACUGUUGCAACCAAAAUGCCUGUCAGGAAUAAAAGUGGAAUGAUUUAUUUGUGUCCAGAGUUCCAGAAAGUACAUUGUGGAGAAGGCAUAGUGGAGUUUGAACUUGUGGGAGGCAGGAAGCAGAGAGCAUGCCCAGACCCAGAGACCAAAAAGACUUCCUGCCUCUAAGGAUCUACUUCUGCCAGUCAGGCCCUGACUUCCCAGUACUUCCACCUGGGGAACAGGCCAUGAGCCUGUGGGGAACAUUUUAGAUUCAAACUUAACCAAGGUGGAAAAAUCUAAGAAUAGGAGGACAUAAAAAAAUUCCCAUCUGGUGUGCAUCAAGAAUAGGAAGGAAAGAAGAAGGAGAAGGAGAAGGAGAAGGAGAAGGAGAAGGAGAAGGAGAAGGAGAAGGAGAAGGAGAAGGAGAAGGAGAAGAAUAUGUUCCUAACUGGUGUGAACAAUGAAGUGUUUGCCCUCUUACGGUGAGAUGGGAGUAGAGACGGGGAAUCACCUGGAAGCUGGAGGCCAUUUAACCUGGAGUACUCAGAGCAGUAGAGACAAGAGAGAAGCUGCCUCGACAGUGUGGAAGGAGAGAACCAGUCUCUGAAAGUUGUCCUUUGACCUCUACACACAUGAUGUGACACCCCACCCAUCACUGUUGCCACCACCACCACCACCACCAAGUUAAAUUGAAACAUAAGACAGUGAGACCUGGACAUACAUGGACAGAUGACAGUCCAGUCAUGAGUACCUGCCUGAGAUUUGUAAUCAUAAAUUGAAAUUGAAGCCAGAUCAGUGUGGCUUUCUCUACUGCAUGCUGUGGUGCCAGUUGGAAGAGGCAGAGCAUUAACUCUCUGUUGGACCAUUUGACCCAGGCCUUCCAGAAAAGUCAGGGUAUGAGGGGAGUAGGACUGUCACAAAGCUCACGGGAAGUACAGGAGCCACAUGCCUUUCAUCUGGGCCUCCAUGGAGAACUUUUCGCUCUACAGCAUGCUCUGGCAUGAGCUGACAGCUGAGGUAGGGCACACACACCUGAGAAGCAGUGGUGACACCCAGUGACGGCUCCACGAAGUGCACCUUGUUGGAUGUGGGCUGGGAGCCGCUCUCCAGGAGGCUGUUCUCUUUCUGCUCUAUUCAGAAAGGCCUCAAGCUCUUCCAGUUAUCUCUUGCAGGAGUCUGUGUCUGUGCCCUGGCAUUCUCAGGAGUGGUGAAGCUUCUGUGGGGUGGGAUAGCAUGGAGCGCAGUGCAAAGACAUCCAGAGUAAUCUGGGGUUGUUCGCUCCAGAAGCCCAGCCAUCUACUUCUCGGUUGGGUCCCUGUUAGCCAGGAACAGUUUUGCUUCCUGGAUGCUGUGGCAUUCUAAAGCCCUGCCCAGGUUCAGGCAAAUGCUGGGCAGUGCAUACAUUCUUCUAUUUCACAGCAAUCCUGGGGGCAUUUCCCUUUUGCCUGGCUCAAGAGUCGAGUGAGGACUGUCCUCUUCUCCAUCACCUCCUAAGAGUGGUCUUCCCUCUAGUCCUAAAACAUCAUACUGUCCCCAGUUCUGUUUGUCCCAAGCACUAAAAUCUGGUUUUGUCUACAGAGUCAUGGGUCCUUCUUCAAGUCUGUUACCUGUUUGUUGCCUGGCACAAGUCCUGAGUUGGACUUUCAGGCUAAGGAGCUGGCUACCCCUUAGUUAGAGGCUAUUCUUGAAAAAAUAAGAAUAAAAAAAUUUGGGACUGGAGAGAUGGCUCAACACUUAAGAGCAUUUAUAGAUCUUUCAGAGGAUUCCAGUCCAGUUCCCAGCACACACAUGGUGGCUUCACAACCAUCCGUGACUCCAGUUCAGGAGGACCCGAUGACCUCUUCCUAUCUCUGCGAGCACCAAACAAGAAUGUGGCGUACUUACAUACAUGCGAGCAAAACAUGUAAAAUAAAAUACAUCUUUAAAAUAA